AAAAGCAGGCAAUUUGUGGAUUGUUAAAAAGAAUAAACACUAAUCAUAUUGUUUAUUUUCACAUACACACACACACACACACACACACACACACACACACGUAAUCCUGGCCAUUCAUCAUUCUCUGAUUUCAUGCCAUACUCUCCUUUCACUGGGCUUAGUCAGUGAGUUCACAUAAGAUGCUAUAUUAAAUUCAUAUUUUUUAAAAGUACUCAUGCUAUGUUUAAUUUCCUUUAGAACUCCCUGAUCAUAAUUAAAUUUCAAAGCUUUUACAACAAAUCUCUUUUGCAUUAUUUUCCCAAACAAAACAAGAAAACACAAGGACAAACCCUACUGUGAAGCAGUGGAGACUGGAGUCCUGCAUUUGCUGAACUUUCUUUUUAUGUGUUGGAUUCUGAUUUUAUAUUCAUUUCCAUUCAUGUGGACUCUGAAGAGGUAUCUCAUUUGUUUAUAUCAUAAUUAAAAUAAUUUUAAAAAUAGAAUAUUACCGAAUUCAUUAAUCAACAGAACAACAAGCUCAUAUGAAAGAUUACAAAAAGGCUAGAACCACUUUUGGAGACAAAGUUUAUAAUAAGCUUUGUUAUUUUAUAGCAGUUUUAUGCUAUUGAUGUCCUUGAUGGGGGACUGAGAAAGGAAUAAAAUAUUUCAUUUCUUUUGCUCUUACCCAGUUAAACUCACCAAGGACACUUGAAGAAGUCACGUCCAGGGAUCACUGUCAUCACAAAUGGAGAAAAGGCCAAUGUCUUUCCAUGCUGCCUCACCAGAAAAGGACUGAGUUGGUACAGACCAAGGUUCUUCCUCCUGGAGGAGAAGGGGAAUUGGCUUUGUACUGAUCCUUGGGUUAGAAGUUAAGAAAGAGUCAGCUGUCAAACCACAAGCCACAUGCAAACCAGUUGGCAGUUCGGUUCUCCCUGCUCUUUGAUGUCUGAGGAAGACAAGCUCCAACCUCUGUCUCAUCCUAGUGCAAAGACCACAAUCUUGCACAGGGCAACUGUUAGUCUAUAAAAUUUGCCUUAAAAUUUCAGGGGGGAGCAUCCAUGGCAGGAAGGGGGACAUGCAUCUUUCAAUCACAUAUUAGGCAUUGCCUAGAACUCUUUUCUUCUACCUUUAUCACUAGGAUGUUUUUCCUGGCCUCUACUUUCCCAUGAUGCUUCACAUCUUUCGCAUUCUCCAGUUUCUUCCCCUUUUUUUUCUAUUUCUUCCUCUCUCCUUCCCUCCCAAAGGCAAAUGCAAGUGUCCCCUACUCUCCACUCAGCAUGCCAUAAACCGUCUAUCUGUUGCUUGGGUCCUCAAUGUCUCACUUGCCAUGGUCAAGCAGCUUUUCAAAAUAUUUUUCCAAAGAAAGAGAAUUCUCUGGUUAAGAAAGAGUCUGGUGACAACUCAUAAUAAUUUAUUACUUUUUCCAUCACAAAAUAAUUAUAAAUGAAAUUAGCAUCUUUGUAGAUCCUCUUGCUCUACCUCUUCCAUCACCUUCUGUAGCCGAAUGUAAAGUUUAUUCUUGUUUUAUUUUACUUGGUAAGAAUGUUGGUUGGCAGGAAACUCUAGCAGUUCUAGGAUUCCUCCCAUUGAGAGGGGGAGUUGAAUUCUCCUCCCCUUAGAUCUGAGUUGGCCUUAACAGCUGAGAUAGCGAAUUCUGGAUAUCAACUUGACCAGCCAAUGGGAUGCCCAGAUAGCUGGUAGGACAUUAUUUCUGGAUUGUGUCCAUGAGGGUGUUUCUAGAAAAGAUGAGCAUUUGAAUUGGUAGAUGAAGAAGAUCCAUUCUCACCAACAUAGGUGGGUGUCAUCCAAUCUGUUUGAUAAAUCAAACAGGGAGGCUUAGAGUCCAGGAGCUGGGACAGCAGAGGAGACUGAGGCUGAAUGCACACAGCACUUCACAUAUCCACGUGCCAAGCUCACUUGUCUCUACUGAAGGAUGAGUGAGCUGAUGGAACUGGAACACCCAGAUGUCUUCUUAAUACACUGGAAGGAGGGAAAUGGUGGUCCUUUACUGCAUCGUGAGCCUUCAUCCCCACAUACACAGGGGAUAACUGGCCCUGGUUUGGG
rnacentral:lncRNA from 1 species